GAUCAUGGCUCAGAACGAACGCUGGCGGCGCGUUUAAGCAUGCAAGUCGAGCGGCAAGGGCCUUCGGGCCCUAGAGCGGCGGACGGGUGAGUAACACGUGGACAAUCUGCCCCCCGGCCCGGGAUAGCCCAGGGAAACCUGGAUUAAUACCGGAUGAGACGGGACCCGCGAUGGCGGGACCCGGGAAAGGCGCUGCGGCGCCGCCGGGGGAUGAGUCUGCGUCCCAUUAGCUAGACGGCGGGGUAACGGCCCACCGUGGCGACGAUGGGUAGCCGGCCUGAGAGGGUGGACGGCCACAUUGGAACUGAGACAUGGUCCAGACUCCUACGGGAGGCAGCAGCUAAGAAUCUUCCGCAAUGGGCGAAAGCCUGACGGAGCGACGCCGCGUGAACGAAGAAGGCCGUGAGGUUGUAAAGUUCUUUUCGGGAGGGGGAACAACCGUGGCAGGGAAUGGCCGCGGGAUGACGUGAAUCCCGGAAUAAGCCCCGGCUAACUACGUGCCAGCAGCAGC
rnacentral:rRNA from 1 species